GCACCUCUGGAGCAUCGAAUUAGCUCCACCCAGAUCAAAUCCCCUCAUUAGCUGAGCUUAUUUAAAGCAGCUGUAUGUCUCAUGGCUGCCUCUUUGCCUUUUCCCUGCCUGUCUGUUGCCACAUGAACCCUCUGUGAUGUCUAGGUAGGUGAGUGAGUAAAAACUUUGUCUUAUGUUUUCAUUGUCUUUUCCCAGUGACUGAGGUUGUAUGUUUUGCAGCAGUCUACUGCCAGCCUGUUUUAUGUAGUUUGGCUGAUUCCAAGGUUCCCUGUCUGGAGUGGCCUGAUGUAUUGUUCCUUACACAGCACCCUGUGUUAAGUGGUGCAAGUGGUCAGCUUGUGGUGGAAGCUAGGCACACUAGUGUGGGUUCCUUCACUGAUUGUAGUGUUCACGGCACUGGGGCACGAUUUGGUGACACGAUCUGCAGUGAACCGGUUUGCAGUGACCAUGGAUUGCAGUGAGCACAUGAGGUGGGGAAGUUGUUGCACCCCUGGAGCACACCCUUAGUUAGACUGCCUCUCCACAUGCCCUGGCCCACUCUAACUUUUUGUUUGGUCCAAUAAUCAGUAAUAACUGGGAGUGUUUUGUUAAAAUAAAAUAAGUAACUUGUUUGCCAAAUUUGUAAAACUUUUA